GGAUUAGCUCUACGAUAGGUGACCUGCGGAGGGAUCAUU
rnacentral:rRNA from 1 species